rnacentral:rRNA from 1 species
UACGUAGGGUGCGAGCGUUAAUCGGAAUUACUGGGCGUAAAGCGUGCGCAGGCGGCGACAUAAGACAGAUGUGAAAUCCCCGGGCUUAACCUGGGAAUGGCAUUUUGAACUGGCAGUCUAGAGUGUGUCAGAGGGGGGUGGAAUUCCACGUGUAGCAGUGAAAUGCGUAGAUAUGUGGAGGAACACCAAUGGCGAAGGCAGCCCCCUGGGAUAACACUGACGCUCAUGUACGAAAGCGUGGGUAGCAAACAGGAUUAGAUACCCGGGUAGUCC